AUUUCUUUUAUAGAUUCCUAAUUUAAGGAUUUAUCUGAAUUAAAGCAGUAUGAGAUACUUUCUGACCAAUAAACUGUAGAAGAGGAUAAAUGAAAAGCGGAUUAGAAAACGAUCAGAAAUGCAAGAAAAAUAUGUUAACUGAUACAACUAGUAACAAAUACACCUGUGUCGUACAUAGAGAACCACUUAGACAUGUAAAGAAUAUACAAUCGAAGACAAGAAAUGGAGUAAAAGAAAAAUGGUGCAUAAGAUGCAAGAGCAACAGAGGGGCAAUAGGGAGACAUAGUCACUUGGACAUAAAAUACAAUCAGGCAUAUAUAUUGAUAUGCGAUAUAAACUGUUAUCUUUCUUUUUCAAUGAAAUAUAUCCAAAAUAAAAAUUCAAUAUGGUUUACUGUUUCAGUGAUUCUUGUAUGAAUAUUAAAAAAACAUAUGUAAACAUGUAGGGAUUUUAUUUGUAAAAUCCUUUUGAGUUAAUCGGAAAUAUCUAAUUAAAGUGAGGUCCAGAUUCAAGUCUUUAGGAUAGAAAUAAACAAAUAAAAUUUCCUGGGUAGAAAAACAGAAUUAAGAUUGCACUAUACAAUGUUGGUUCAUUUGAUACCCAACAUGUUGGACCAAUGUUAGCCCAACAUGGUAUCCAUGACAAUAUGGUUGGCACAUGGUUGGCAGUACGUGUUAUAUGUUGGGGAAAAGUUGCUGGGCCAACAUGUAGCCAACUGUUUGCAGAGACGUUAGCCCGAUGAGCAACAAGUUGUUGGCCCAACAAUGGCUGCCAUCAUUGGGCCAACAAAGAUGCCAACAAAAAGCCAAUAUUGGGCCAACAAGCAUAUGUUUUUUUGGGAUAUUCCUUUACACUUCAGAUUACAGAUAUCCAAGAUAUUUAUUUCUUCCAAACACUUUACUUCACAUACAUUAUUUUCUUAAAUAUGUUUACAUUCUGCAUUUCACUUAUUUAGAUAAGAUUAUAUGCACAAAUAAUUUGAAUAAGACACGCAUAUCAGAAAAAUAUAUCCACCCGAAUCCACAAUGUAAGACAGAAUCAAACAACACGUGGUAGUUGUUGAAUAUUUUAGUGUCAAUUUUAUUGUUUAUCGAUUUAGACAUAACAAGGUCAAAUAAGGUCAGUAAAUUAAAUGCCGUAUUCACAGAUAGCGUGUUUUAUUGGUUACCCAUAAUUAUAUGUAAUAUGAUGAAUUGUACUUUUUAUGUUUGUAGAAAUAGAGGGAUUGUCGAUUUCUGUAUGAUUGUUAUAAAAAUAUUUUUUAACUGUACUGUCUGUAGACAUGUACCAGUAUGUUAGCAACUAUUACAAAAAUAUGAAAUUAUACUUUGAAAUGGCAUCUAAAUUUUUGAUAAAUUUAAAUAGUUGAAAUGUAAAUGGUACUAAAAAUAAAGCUAAAAGAGACCCUGUAAUUGAAUGGAUUAAAUCUCAAAACGGUUCUGUUUUUUAUUUACACGAAACUCAUUUUGAUGAAAACAUAGAAACAGAAAAACGAAAUAAUUCAGAAUUUGAUAUUUUUGCAGUCACGGAACAACUUCUAGUAGGGGCGUGGCUAUUCUCAUUAAAAAGUCACUGAAUUCUAAGCUGAUAAAUAAAUAUGACGAUGUAGAAGGACGAUUAGUUCUACUUAAUGUGGAAAUUGAUGAAAGCGUUUUUACACUAAUGUGUAUAUAUGCACCUAAUUGUAAAAAUAAUAGAAACAUAUUUUUCAAAAAGGUAAAUAAUAUAUUAAAAGAAGAAGGGAUAGGAAUUACAAUAAUGGGUUGAGAUUUCAAUGAUACGAUGAAAGGGAUAGACUGAAAAAAUGAAGAAGGGAUAGGAAUUACAAUAAUGGGUUGUGAUUUCAAUAAUACGAUGAAAGGGAUAGACUGAAAAAAUGUUCAAAAUAGUAAAUAGUUUUAAAAUCCUUAAUAAAAACAAAUAACUUUAUAUUUAUUCACCAAAUAUGCUUGUUACAUUGCUACUUCAAGAGUCCAAGCUCUUUUCGAUGUAUCCUGUAAUAUUCCACUGAUUACCCAGGUUAGUAAUCAGCUGUUGAUAUAUAUGAAUAUACACAUUUCUUGAAAUACAAUUGUACGAACGUUUUAUGCAUUAUGUUUUUAUCUAUUCAAUUGUGUAUACCGGUACUUCUUUUAGUGACUUCAGUACUGAAUUUAAUUCAUUGUUCUGUUUUCGUUAUAUCUUUUUAUGUAUUCUUGAACAAAAUUUUGAUAAACAUU